CUAACUAGGAAGAGUUUCCACAUCCAAUCCACUUCAUGUGUCUUAUGUGAUGAUGAACCCAAUGAACAUUUGAUGCAUCUAUUUUUCAGUUGUGAUUUCAGUCAGAAUUUCUAGAUGAGCAUUGGUUUCCAAUGGAAUACAGACUAUGAUCUACUUGAAAUGUUGCUGGAUGGCAGAAGGCACAACAAUAUUAUGUGCUAUAAGGAAUGCUUGAUUGCAGGUUGUUGGAGCUUAUGGAAACAUAGGAAUGGUAUCAUAUUUAACCAUAAAGAAAAGAAUAUGGCAUAUUGUAUAAGUUCUUUCAAAAAGCACUUUCGCAUAAUCAUCAAGAAAGCAAAACCUAGCUUGAAGGAAGGAAUGCAGAGCUGGCUAGACUACUUGUAG
rnacentral:rRNA from 1 species